rnacentral:rRNA from 1 species
ACUGAACGCUGGCGGCACGCCUAACACAUGCAAGUCGAGCGGUAGCAGUGGUAGUAGCAAUACUACUAGCUGACGAGCGGCGGACGGGUGAGGAAUACGUAGGAAUUUAUCCUUAAGAGGGGGACAACCAAGGGAAACUUUGGCUAAUACCGCAUAAUCUCGAGAGAGGAAAGUUGCCGUAAGGUGACACUUGAGGAGGAGCCUGCGUCCGAUUAGCUAGUUGGUGAGGUAAGAGCUCACCAAGGCGAUGAUCGGUAACUGGUCUGAGAGGACGACCAGUCACACUGGGACUGAGACACGGCCCAGACUCCUACGGGAGGCAGCAGUGGGGAAUAUUGGACAAUGGGGGCAACCCUGAUCCAGCGAUGCCGCGUGAGUGAAGAAGGCCUUCGGGUCGUAAAGCUCUUUAGGUUGGGAAGAAGGUUAGUGGAGGAUAAUGCUGCUAACUUGACGGUACCGACAGAAUAAGCACCGGCAAACUCUGUGCCAGCAGCCGCAGUAA